rnacentral:rRNA from 1 species
AUGAACGCUAGCUACAGGCUUAACACAUGCAAGUCGAGGGGCAGCAUGGUCUUAGCUUGCUAAGGCCGAUGGCGACCGGCGCACGGGUGAGUAACACGUAUCCAACCUGCCGUCUACUCUUGGACAGCCUUCUGAAAGGAAGAUUAAUACAAGAUGGCAUCAUGAGUCCGCAUGUUCACAUGAUUAAAGGUAUUCCGGUAGACGAUGGGGAUGCGUUCCAUUAGAUAGUAGGCGGGGUAACGGCCCACCUAGUCUUCGAUGGAUAGGGGUUCUGAGAGGAAGGUCCCCCACAUUGGAACUGAGACACGGUCCAAACUCCUACGGGAGGCAGCAGUGAGGAAUAUUGGUCAAUGGGCGAGAGCCUGAACCAGCCAAGUAGCGUGAAGGAUGACUGCCCUAUGGGUUGUAAACUUCUUUUAUAAAGGAAUAAAGUCGGGUAUGGAUACCCGUUUGCAUGUACUUUAUGAAUAAGGAUCGGCUAACUCCGUGCCAGCAGCCGCGGUAAUACGGAGGAUCCGAGCGUUAUCCGGAUUUAUUGGGUUUAAAGGGAGCGUAGAUGGAUGUUUAAGUCAGUUGUGAAAGUUUGCGGCUCAACCGUAAAAUUGCAGUUGAUACUGAAUAUUUUGAGAGCAGUUAACGCAGGCGCAAUUCGUGGUGUAGCGGUGAAAUGCUUAGAUAUCACGAAGAACUCCGAUUGCGAAGGCAGCCUGCUAAGCUGCAACUGACAUUGAGGCUCGAAAGUGUGGGUAUCAAACAGGAUUAGAUACCCUGGUAGUCCACACGGUAAACGAUGAAUACUCGCUGUUUGCGAUAUACGGCAAGCGGCCAAGCGAAAGCGUUAAGUAUUCCACCUGGGGAGUACGCCGGCAACGGUGAAACUCAAAGGAAUUGACGGGGGCCCGCACAAGCGGAGGAACAUGUGGUUUAAUUCGAUGAUACGCGAGGAACCUUACCCGGGCUUAAAUUGCAGAUGAAUUACGGUGAAAGCCGUAAGCCGCAAGGCAUCUGUGAAGGUGCUGCAUGGUUGUCGUCAGCUCGUGCCGUGAGGUGUCGGCUUAAGUGCCAUAACGAGCGCAACCCUUGUUGUCAGUUACUAACAGGUUCCGCUGAGGACUCUGACAAGACUGCCAUCGUAAGAUGUGAGGAAGGUGGGGAUGACGUCAAAUCAGCACGGCCCUUACGUCCGGGGCUACACACGUGUUACAAUGGGGGGGUACAGAGGGCCGCUACCACGCGAGUGGAUGCCAAUCCCCAAAACCUCUCUCAGUUCGGACUGGAGUCUGCAACCCGACUCCACGAAGCUGGAUUCGCUAGUAAUCGCGCAUCAGCCACGGCGCGGUGAAUACGUUCCCGGGCCUUGUACACACCGCCCGUCAAGCCAUGGGAGCCGGGGGUACCUGAAGUGCGUAACCGCGAGGAGCGCCCUAGGGUAAAACUGGUGACUGGGGCU